AGGGAUGCUAAGAUAGAAGAGUUUGUGAAUUUGAGGUAGGGCUCGAUAAUAGUACAAGAGUACUUCCUUAAGUUCAAUCAGUUGUCUAAGUAUACCCCUGAUACGAUGGCGGACCCUAUAGUAUGUAAAUCCCCAAAAUCUCAUCCCAGAACGUCACACAAUACUAAAGGCUACCAGUAGCCCCAAGCUAACCCUUUGAGCCUGAUACUGCUUCUAACACUU
rnacentral:lncRNA from 1 species